UCCCUGGUGGUUCAGUGGAGAAUCUGCCUGCCAACGCAGGAGACACAGGUUCCAUUCCUGAUCAGGGAA
rnacentral:tRNA from 1 species